rnacentral:rRNA from 1 species
CCUACGUGUGGCAGCAGUGAGGAAUAUUGGUCAAUGGGCGCAGGCCUGAACCAGUCAAGUCGCGUGAGGGAAGAAUGCCCUAUGGGUUGUAAACCUCUUUUAUAAGGGAAGAAUAAUGACUACGUGUCGUCCGAUGCCCGUACCUUAUGCAUCAGCAUCUGCUAACUCCGUGCCAGCAGCCGCGGUAAUACGGAGGAUGCGGGAGUUAUCCGGAUUUAUUGGGUUUAAAGGGUGCGUAGGCGGUAUUUUAAGUUAGUGGUAAAACGUUGGAGCGUCAACUUGAUUGGCCAUUAAAACUGGAGUACUAGAGUACAGACGAGGUAGGCGGAAUAAGUUAAGUAGCGGUGAAAUGCUUAGAUAUAACUUAGAACCCCGAUAGCGAAGGCAGCUUACCAGACUGUUACUGACGCUGAAGCACGAGAGCGUGGGUAGCGAACAGGAGUAGAUACCCCAGUAGUC